CAUUUGGAUGUAUUAUUUCAAGCUUGGACUCAAAAAUUUUGACCUAUAAAAUUUGCAAUGGUUAUGGAUUAUGGGACAUAUGAUGCAAAUCCUGCCAAAGUAAUGCAAUAACAUUUUCCUCUAGCCAUCCUGAUCCUCCUCAAAAAAUUAACUUAACAUUACUAUAGUUAUAAUUUUUAUAGAAGUUCAACCUGAUAUAGUUGUCAAUGAUUUGUGAUAAUAAGUAUGAGCUGUUAUAUUUAUUUGUUUCUUGAUUGAUAUAUUUAUAGGUCUAUUAUACUGACCAACUUGACCUCACUUGGAUGCGAUCCCAUUUUUAUUAUUGACUUAGAUUUAGUUUGAAAAACUUCA
rnacentral:lncRNA from 1 species